CCUACGGGAGGCAGCAGUAAGGAAUAUUGGUCAAUGGAGGCAACUCUGAACCAGCCAUGCCGCGUGCAGGAAGACGGCCUAUGGGUUGUAAACUGCUUUUAUCUGGGAAUAUGUACCAGAAGAAUAAGGAUCGGCUAACUCCGUGCCAGCAGCCGCGGUAAUACGGAGGAUCCAAGCGUUAUCCGGAUUUAUUGGGUUUAAAGGGUGCGUAGGCGGCCUAUUAAGUCAGAGGUGAAAGACGGUAGCUCAACUAUCGCAGUGCCUUUGAUACUGAUAGGCUUGAAUAAACUAGAGGUAGGCGGAAUGAGACAAGUAGCGGUGAAAUGCAUAGAUAUGUCUCAGAACACCGAUUGCGAAGGCAGCUUACUAUGGUUUAUUGACGCUGAGGCACGAAAGCGUGGGGAUCAAACAGGAUUAGAUACCCUUGUAGUC
rnacentral:rRNA from 1 species